ACCGCAGCAGCUCUGCAAAGCAAGUUGCAAAACAGAAUCCAUGAAAGUGGCAGUGACCGGAAACCAGUUGGAAGACUUUGGUCUGUGAUGUAGAGGAGUGGGCAGAGGCAGAAGCAAAGACAACAAAAAACAGAAGUGAUAUGGAUGUCUUCGUCAUAUGGCAUGACUCUGCUGACCCAGCAACAAAGAGGAGGGUCUUCAACAUCAUCCUGCUAGUCAGGAUUCUUCAGGAGAAGCAGUGGAUUCUUGUGGCAGAGAUGGCCAACCACUAUAAAUACCUUUCAACUCAUCCUGGUUCCUUCAAAGAACUUUCCUGCUUGUUUGCUACUGAAAAGUAUGUAUUUGUAUUAUUUGGCACAGACAUAAGCAUAAGGUUACCCAGUCCAAAGGAUAUUAAUAUAUUUUUAUGUUGUUGUGUUCUUCUUUUAAGAUUCGACAUGUGGCCUAAACGAAGAGGGGUUAAAAGGUCUAUGGAUCAUCAUUCUCAGAAAGCAACAAAAUAACUGAGAAAUAAACAACAAUACGAUGGUGCAAUCUAGAGACCUGCAAGGUACUUGCAAGUUUUGGCUGGAGCAGAGAACAUAGAUUUUUUUAAAUAAAGCUCCAGCUGAUGAAUAUGACAUUGACUGUGGAUUUUCUUUUACUGUAAUCCAGAAGAGGAUGACCUUAACCCUGAAUCUAAAGCAUGUAAUGCAAUCUGUAAAAAAAAUAAAAUAAAAAUUUCAUCUUCUAUAACCAAAUUGUUGUCUCUUUUUUUUUUU
rnacentral:lncRNA from 1 species